UUGUUAGUCUAAGUAUGUCCCGUGUAAUAUUGCGGAUAUACUUAUAUUAAAA
rnacentral:miRNA from 1 species